GUAAACUUCUCCGACAUUGUUGAAGAAAUUCAAUUCCUGAACCAAGCGAGUGGGCCAAAUCCGGAGCAUGGUUCAACAUCAGAGCGUGCGUCUCCGUGAGACAGGGCGAACAUCCCGCCGCUUAAAGAUUUAUCAAACCUUGUAAACAAGAUCGGCACGUUUGGAAGCGAAAAUCACCUGGAGAGGGUUAGCGGCCAUGGAGUUGCAACAAACCCGAAAAGACUCAAACGUCAAGCAGUUACGAUCGCCCAAGUGCAUGCUCCGGUUGAUGGGGAUGUGAGAGAUCUUGAUUUCAUACCACAAACACCAGAACGGAAACGGUCAAGACAUUCGCUCAGAGCAUCAGCUGAGUUGGUUGUGGAUGACCAUGCGGUACCCGAUGUAAAUGAUGUUCGGAGCUGGGGCGAUGAACUGAUAGAAUCGUGGGACGCCUGUGCAUUUUCCCAGGUACCUAAAGAAACACAACGGGAUGAUCAAUCCAACAAACGCGUGGUGUCUGCGGCAGAUUCCGACCCUGAGGCUCUGCCUUCAA